CUAAACCAAACAAAUUCCCCCCUUUCUCUGCGCCGUUUCUCAACUCUCCAAACUCUCCCCAUCUUUUCUCCUUCACCGAGAAAACCCACAAAACCAACGCGCUCCCUCUCCCCGACGAACACCAUCGAGAGCUUCAAAGCUCUAUAACGCCUCUCGCACCACUGGUCACCGGCGAGUCAAACGGGGAACGAAACCUAAACCAAACCCCGAAUCUAAAAACAAAAACUUUACCCUAAAACCCACGACCACACCAGGCCACCGUGGCCUCCGCCCUAUAGCCAUAAAUUGGUGACAUUCAGACCUCGAUCUCCCUCUAAAGCGACCUAAGAUCGACAACAACACAAACGAAGGAAGCUAUUCAAAGAGAAGGGCGCUCCAACGGACCCGAUAUGAGGUCGAAGAGAACCGAGCCACCCGGGUAAGUCCACUUCUUCCUUUUGGUUUCGUUUUGAUUUAGAAAUGUUCUUUUGAAAAUAUGUUGUUCUUGUAUAUUUCUUCGAAUGAUGAAAGUAAUGCUUGAUGAUUUUCUGUGUUGCUGUUUUUUCAAAAAAUGGAUGCAAGGAAAAUCGUUUUUAUUUCUUUUGGAACUCUAUGCUUACCCGAACAAAGGGGAGCCCCCUGUUUUUACAAUGUUUUCCCAACAGAAAAUUCAAGAUGGCCCGCAAAAAACCCCCAGUACAUUGCUUUCCAAAAUAAAAUUCAAAACGAAGCCCUCUAUUCUCCAAUCUUUUCUGAAUCGAAAGGAUCAGACCCCCCUCCUGUUUCCCCCCGUUGAUGGUCUCCUUUUCAAUUGAUAUCCCCCGUGAUUCUACAUUGAUGGUCUCCUUUUCCAAACUUUUAGUUGUUUAUGUAUAAAUAAUUGUUGUAGAAGCUGCUAAAUGAAGUCAGAUAAUACAAGCAGCCAGCAGGUGCAAUUAGUACGUAUAUUAUAUUAAUUAGUUGAGUUCAAAGGAAUGUCCCUAACGAACAAUAAUGGUUUUAUUAUUAAUUACGUAAUUAUGA